rnacentral:rRNA from 1 species
UGUGUAGGCUGUUCUCUAAGUUCGGUGUGAAAUCUCCCGGCUUAACUGGGAGGGUGCGCCGAAAACUGGGGGGCUUGAGUAUGGGAGAGGAAAGCGGAAUUCCUGGUGUAGCGGUGAAAUGCGUAGAUAUCAGGAGGAACACCUGCGGUGUAGACGGCUUUCUGGACCAUCACUGACGCUGAGACACGAAAGCGUGGGGAGCAAACAGGAUUAGAUACCCUGGUAGUCCACGCCCUAAACGAUGCAUACUUGGUGUGAGCCGUUCAUUCGGUUCGUGCCGGAGCUAACGCGUUAAGUAUGCCGCCUGGGGAGUACGGUCGCAAGGCUGAA